rfam:Triticum aestivum genome assembly, contig: Triticum_aestivum_CS42_TGACv1_scaffold_034262_1BL
AAUGUACUCCCUCCGUCCCAAAAUUCUUGUCUCUAGAUUUAUCUAGAUACGGAUAUAUCUAACACUAAAACGUGAAUAGAUACAUCGGUAUGUUGACAAAUCUAAGACAAGAAUUUUGAGACGGAGGGAGUACUUA